UACGACUACAUAUCAGGCAUAUCAAUAAGCGGAGGAAAAGAAACUAACAAGGAUUCCCUUAGUAACGGCGAGUGAAGCGGGAAGAGCUCAAAUUUGAAAUCUUCAAGGUUUUACCUUGACGAAUUGUAGUUUAAAGAAGUGUUUUCUGUUGAAGUUUUGGUAAAAGUUCUUUGGAAUAGGACAUCAUAGAGGGUGAGAAUCCCGUAUUUGACCAUUAUUUUCAGCUGUGUGAUACACUUUCAAAGAGUCGGAUUGUUUGGGAAUGCAGUCCAAAAUGGGUGGUAAAUUUCAUCUAAAGCUAAAUAUUGGCGAGAGACCGAUAGCGAACAAGUACCGUGAGGGAAAGAUGAAAAGAACUUUGAAAAGAGAGUUAAACAGUACGUGAAAUUGUCAAAAGGGAAGCGUUUGGCACCAGUGUUGUUUUCUCGAAAAUCAAUUAAAAAAAGUUGGAUUUUGUGUUGUAUUGACCUUAACAGCUUGCUUCACUCUUUUCCAGCUUUUUUUAAUGCACUUUUCGUUUAACAAGUCAACAUCAGUUUCUUUUGUUGUAAAAGGGUCAUUGGAAGGUGGCUUUCUCUUCGGAGAAAGUGUUUAUAGCCUUUAAUCUCUGCAAUCGGAGAGACUGAGGUCUGCAGCGUAGAUCCUUCGGGGUUAGAUACAUUUGUGCUAAGCUACAGGCUUUUCAUAGACAACUUGUUGACUAUGUUUAGUCUUGUGACUUACCCGCUUAUGCUAUUUUACCUACGCUUAGGAUGUUGAGCGCAUGUCUCUCUCU
rnacentral:rRNA from 1 species